rnacentral:piRNA from 1 species
UCCGUUGCUUAUUAUGCAUGU